rnacentral:rRNA from 1 species
UACAGAGGGGGCAAGCGUUGUUCGGAAUUACUGGGCGUAAAGGGCGCGUAGGCGGCCUGUUAAGUCGAACGUGAAAUCCCUGGGCUCAACCCAGGAACUGCGUCCGAUACUGGCAGGCUUGAAUCCGGGAGAGGGAUGCGGAAUUCCAGGUGUAGCGGUGAAAUGCGCAGAUAUCAGGAGGAACACCGGUGGCGAAGGCGGGUCUCUGGGCCGAAACUGACGCUGAGGAGCGAAAGCGUGGGGAGCGAACAGG